GAUCAUGGCUCAGGAUGAACGCUGGCGGCGUGCUUAACACAUGCAAGUCGAACGAUUGAAGCUGGAGCUUGCUCUGGCCGAUUUAGUGGCGGACGGGUGAGUAACGCGUGGGUAACCUGCCUCAUACAGGGGGAUAGCAGUUGGAAACGACUGGUAAAACCGCAUAAGCGCACGGUGUCGCAUGGCACAGUGUGAAAACACUCCGGUGGUAUGAGAUGGACCCGCGUCUGAUUAGCUAGUUGGUGAGGUAACGGCCCACCAAGGCGACGAUCAGUAGCCGGCCUGAGAGGGUGAACGGCCACAUUGGGACUGAGACACGGCCCAAACUCCUACGGGAGGCAGCAGUGGGGAAUAUUGCACAAUGGGGGAAACCCUGAUGCAGCGACGCCGCGUGAGUGAUGAAGUAUUUCGGUAUGUAAAGCUCUAUCAGCAGGGAAGAUAAUGACGGUACCUGACUAAGAAGCACCGGCUAAAUACGUG
rnacentral:rRNA from 1 species